CAAAGGGCUCACGGAGGAUACCUAGGCACACAGAGGCGAUGAAGGACGUGGUUACCUGCGAUAAGUCUCGGGGAGUUGGAAGCACACUUUGAUCCGGGAAUUUCCGAAUGGGGCAACCCCUUGAACGACCAACUGAAUAUAUAGGUUGGUGCGAGCUAACCCAGCGAACUGAAACAUCUUAGUAGCUGGAGGAAGAGAAAGUAAAUAACGACUCCCUCAGUAGCGGCGAGCGAACGGGGAAUAGCCCAAACCGAUAGUCUUGACUAUCGGGGUUGUGGGACAGCAAUAUGGAUCAACAAUUCUAGAAGAAACGUUUGAAUGGCGUGCCAUAGAGGGUGAAAGCCCCGUAAUUGAAAGAUGAGUUGACCUAGCUGUAUCCCGAGUAGCACGGAGCACGUGGAAUUCCGUGUGAAUCUGCGAGGACCACCUCGUAAGGCUAAGUACUACUGUGUGACCGAUAGUGAAACAGUACCGCGAGGGAAAGGUGAAAAGAACCCCGGGAGGGGAGUGAAAUAGAACAUGAAACCGUGAGCUUACAAGCAAUGGGAGCCCGACUAAUCGGGUGACCGUGUGCCUGUUGAAGAAUGAGCCGGCGACUUAUAGGCACUGGCGGGUUAAACCGGAAAUGGUGGAGCCACAGCGAAAGCGAGUCUUAAUAGGGCGUUUGUCAGUGUUUAUAGACCCGAACCCUGGUGAUCUAACCAUGGCCAGGAUGAAGCUUGGGUGAUACCAAGUGGAGGUCCGAACCGACUGAAGUUGAAAAUUCAGCGGAUGAGCUGUGGUUAGGGGUGAAAUGCCAAUCGAACCAGGAGCUAGCUGGUUCUCCCCGAAAUACGUUGAGGCGUAGCGUCUAGUGCUCCAGCAGGGGGGUAAAGCAACCAUUUCGGUGCGGGCUGCGAAAGCGGUACCAAAUCGAUAUGAACUCUGAAUACCCUGUGUGUAACUAGGCAGUCAGACUGUGGGGGAUAAGCUCCAUAGUCAAGAGGGAAACAGCCCAGACCGCCAGCUAAGGUCCCAAAAUUAACGCUAAGUGAUAAAGGAGGUGGGAUUGCCCAGACAACCAGGAGGUUUGCCUAGAAGCAGCCAUCCUCAAAGGAGUGCGUAAUAGCUCACUGGUCGAGCGAUCCUGCGCCGAAAAUGAAUGGGGCUAAGCGUUAUACCGAAGCUGCGGAUAAAUUUAUUUAUGGUAGGGGAGCGUUCUAUGUUGGGUGAAGCGUUAGCGUAAGCGGACGUGGACGGCAUAGAAGUGAGAAUGUCGGCUUGAGUAGCGAAAACAUGGGUGAGAAUCCCAUGCCCCGAAACCCUAAGGGUUCCUCCGGCAGGCUCGUCCGCGGAGGGUUAGUCUGGACCUAAGGCGAGGCCGAAAGGCGUAGUCGAUGGAUAACAGGUCAAUAUUCCUGUACCAGUUAUGUUUUGGGAAGGGGGACGGAGAAGGCUAGCCAGGCCAGAUGUUGGUUACUGGUUCAAGCGUUCAAGGCUUUGAGAGAUGGAGAAAACAUCUUGAGCUGAGGCGUGAGUACGAGCUGCUACGGCAGCGAAGUUGGUGAUGUCAUGCUUCCAAGAAAAGCCCUAUACCCGUUAAGACAUAAAUGCCAGUACCCGAAACCGACACAGGUGGGGUGGUAGAGAAUACCGAGGGGCGCGAGAUAACUCUCUCUAAGGAACUCGGCAAAAUGGCCCCGUAACUUCGGGAGAAGGGGUGCCAGCGAGAGCUGGUCGCAGUGAAGAGGCGCAAGCGACUGUUUACCAAAAACACAGGUCUCCGCUAAGUCGCAAGACGAUGUAUGGGGGCUGACGCCUGCCCAGUGCCGGAAGGUUAAGGAAGCCGGUCAGCGUAAGCGAAGCUGGCGACUGAAGCCCCGGUGAACGGCGGCCGUAACUAUAACGGUCCUAAGGUAGCGAAAUUCCUUGUCGGGUAAGUUCCGACCCGCACGAAAGGUGUAACGAUUUGCGCGCUGUCUCGGAGAGAGGCUCGGCGAAAUAGAAUUGUCUGUGAAGAUGCGGACUACAUACACCCGGACAGAAAGACCCUAUGAAGCUUUACUGUAGUUUGAUAUUGUGCUCGGGCUCUAAUUGCGCAGAAUAGGUGGGAGACGUUGAAAUAGUACUUGUGGGUAUUAUUGAGUCAUCGGUGAGAUACCACUCUAUUAGAGCUAGGGUUCUAACGCUUACCCGUUAUCCGGGAAGCGGACAGUAUCUGAUGGGCAGUUUGACUGGGGCGGUCGCCUCCUAAAAGGUAACGGAGGCGCACAAAGGUUCCCUCAGGCUGGUUGGAAAUCAGUCGUUGAGUGCAAAAGCAGAAGGGAGCUUGACUGUGAGACCUACAAGUCGAACAGGGACGAAAGUCGGUUUUAGUGAUCCGACGGUUCUGCGUGGAAGGGCCGUCGCUCAACGGAUAAAAGUUACUCUAGGGAUAACAGGCUGAUCUCCCCCAAGAGUUCACAUCGACGGGGAGGUUUGGCACCUCGAUGUCGGCUCAUCGCAACCUGGGGCUGAAGUCGGUCCCAAGGGUUGGGCUGUUCGCCCAUUAAAGCGGUACGCGAGCUGGGUUCAGAACGUCGUGAGACAGUUCGGUCCAUAUCCGGUGUAUGCGCAGGAAUAUUGAGAGGAUUUCUCCCUAGUACGAGAGGACCGGGAGGAACGCACCUCUGGUGUGCCAGUUAUCGUGCCAACGGUAAACGCUGGGUAGCCAUGUGCGGAGUGGAUAACCGCUGAAAGCAUCUAAGUGGGAAGCCCACCUCAAGAUGAGUAUUGCCAUGGCUUAAGCCAGUAAGGUCACGGGAAGAACACCCGUUGAUAGGCUCUACGUGGAAGCUUGGUAACAAGUGCAGCGGAGGAGUACUAAUAGACCGAGGGCUUGACCA
rnacentral:rRNA from 1 species